rnacentral:lncRNA from 1 species
UCGUUCGGUGUUCCUCCGGGACUUGGAUCAAUGAGUGUCCAUUGAACACAGUGUGUUCUAGGGCUCCUGUACUGCAGAUAUGGACGUGGCCCCCUCAAGAGUCCUGACAGCUUUUGGUGGACAAGAGAUUGAAAGGCCAAAAUCUGAGCUCUAAGGGUCACUUGAGAUUCUUUGUUCAUUGUUAAGAGUGACAUGCUGAAAACUCCUUUUAAGGUGUUUAUGCUGUUCUUACCAGUUUAACACAGUGCCUCAGUGUUGGCAAUGAGUAUGUGCAGCUGGAGUGUGGCUCAGUGGCAGAGUGCUUGCCUAGCAUAUUUGAGGCCCUGGGUUCUAUCCCGGGUAUCACACCAUCAAUCCCUUAGAAAUUUAAUUACAGUAGCUUACCCCACUAGAUUUGUGGGGGUUUUUUUCUUUUUUUUUUUUCCCCCAAGGAGCAAGAAGUUGGCCAUCUAGGACCCUGUGAUACCACCAGGACUCUGGACACUCCCUGUAUUUCCCAUUAGCUGUCUUAAUGUGGCUCUCAUUGUUUCUGUCUGGCUUCAUGGUUUCAAGAAGAAUGCUCCAUCACUAGAAUUACAUUCAUAUUCCAGGUAAAAUGGGAGAAGCAAAAAGAUUUGCUCAGUCAACUCCAGAUUAAAGAGCUUUUUCAGAACUACACCUUCUUAUAUUUGUUGGUCUGAAAUGUGUUAUAAUAGCAUCUCUAGCUCUAAAAGGGCUGGGAAAAUAUAGUUUUCCAUCUGGGAGAGCACCAUGCUGAACAACACUGAGGUUCUAUCUAUAAGGAAGAAGUGGGAAAUGGAUAUUCAGUAGGCAACCACAAGUAUUAGCCACAUUCUGUCCCACAAUUCUCCAAGUGUGUGGUAUAAAUGGCUACUAAGGCAGGCUCUCCUCUCCAUGGUCUUUCAUGCAUAGUUGUUCUUUGUCAUCAAAACAGUACACACUAGAAACUGCCAUGGUGAACAUGCCUCUAAUUCCAGUGGCUUGGGAGGCUAAGAGAGGGACCAAGUUCAAAGCCAGCCUCAGCAGCGUAGUGAGAUCAUAUCAUAAAAACAACAAACAAACAAAAAGGACUGGGAUGUAGUUCAGAGGUUAAGUACCCCUGGGUUCAAUUUCAGUCCCUGGUAACAAAAUAACAC